CCUACGGGAGGCAGCAGUGAGGAAUAUUGGUCAAUGGACGAGAGUCUGAACCAGCCAAGUAGCGUGAAGGAUGACUGCCCUAUGGGUUGUAAACUUCUUUUAUAAGGGAAUAAAACGAGGCACGUGUGCCUUUUUGCAUGUACUUUAUGAAUAAGGAUCGGCUAACUCCGUGCCAGUAGCCGCGGUAAUACGGAGGGUCCGAGCGUUAUCCGGAUUUAUUGGGUUUAAAGGGAGCGUAGAUGGGUUGUUAAGUCAGUUGUGAAAGUUUGCCGCUCAACCGUAAAAUUGCAAUUGAUACUGGCAGUCUUGAGUACAGUUGAGGUAGGCGGAAUUCGUGGUGUAGCGGUGAAAUGCUUAGAUAUCACGAAGAACCCCGAUUGCGAAGGCAGCUUACUAAGCUGUGACUGACAUUGAUGCUCGAAAGUGUGGGGAUCAAACAGGAUUAGAUACCCGAGUAGUC
rnacentral:rRNA from 1 species